CUGCACAGAGAGACACACACACUCUCCGCUGACAGACAAGCAAACUCCACAGCACGCAGACAAGCAGCGUGCUCCAAGCCCGCUCCUAUGGACAUGGACGUGACCCGCAGGACACAGACACAACUCAAAUCACAUAGACUUACCCUGCAAAACACAGUCCCCCCCCCCGCCCCCACUGACAGCACACGGAGUGUCCCGGACACACACAGAUUCUCCUUUUGACUGAAAGAUGCUCCCCACAGCACACAGUAUACUGUCUCCAGUAUCUAGGCUCAUCCCACAAACCAGCUGUCCCCCAGGACCCAGGCCCUUCCCCUGGGCACACAGACCCUCUCCAACUCAGCGGACUGGCCCCAGGACACACAGCCUCUCGGUGGGACACAAUCAUGUCCAUAGCACAGGGACGUGCCCGCACCACUUAGACCCUCCCCACAGCUCCAAGACCCUCCCCACAGCACCAAGAUUAAAUCCAGAGCACAGGCUCGCCCCACUGCACUCGGACGAGCUCACCCCAUCACAGAGAGAUGCAGAGGCCAUCUUAACAUGUAUCCCCUCGACUGUGGCACAACGCACCAUCUUUCCCUCCAAGGCAUCAGUUGACUCCGCAACAAACACAGUCACCACACAAUGCAAACACACCCUAUGGCACCCUCAUGUGCCCUACAGCGUCCAGAGCUCCUCCAAAUAUCCACUUCUCCAUAACACACACUGUGGCCUUGGAUCAAGAAAGCCCCUGUCAAAUUCUUCAGACACACUCUGUGAUACAUAUACACACCUCACAACUCAGAGCACUACUUCCCAGUGUGCAAACUGGCCCUACAGCGCACAGGCUUCUUCCACAACAGACACGCUCAUGCCAUGGCAGCACCUAACUUUUCCCGGAAAUGUUCAGAUUCGCCCCUCAGUGCACAGUCACCUCACAACCUCGAUACAACCUAUGAUAAAGCACAACCCUGCACUCAGUGAUGCAGAGUCAUGUCACAGGACACACUUGUCAUGCAGAUUCACUUCACCCAAACCACACUCCUUAGGGUGAUUACGCAGAGCACACACACCCCCCCAAACACUCACCACCCUUUGUUCUACAACCUCCGGAUUCACCCGUAACACACAGAUGGCUUUCACACCAAAGUCGGCCCAAGGAGGCCCAGAACUUCAUCUAGAUGCACAGAUUGUCCCAUCAACACACACACUUGCUCCAUGACACACACAAACACCACAGAACCCUGAGCCUCACUCCCAAAUACUCAGUCAAGCCUUUCAAGUCAUAGAUUUGCCCCACAACAUAAUCACACCCACAAAACUUAGAAUUCACAGAAAUGCCUGUGAACACAUAGAUUUCUCCCUCAAUGCAUAGAGAUGCAACACAACAUACAUUUACCCUAAGAUAGAAAACCUAUAAAGCACAUGAGCCGUCCCCAAUAUGUAGACACACAACACACACUAUUACCUGUGCAAUGCCAAGAUUUCCAUCAUAGUUUACAGAUGUGCUUUACCAUCUCACUGAGCUGCAGCCCUGGCCCUCAACGUAUACCACUUGUGUAAUGGCUAAGAGCAAGGCCUCUGGACCCAGACUACUUGGGUUCGAAUCCAGGUUCCACCCCUUUCUAAUUGUGCACAUUGGUCUUCAUUUGUCAACUGUGGAUGAUGCUGGUUCCUGCCUCCAAGACUGUUGGACUAUAUGACACCAGGAGAUAGGAAGAUUGAGAGAGCUGGUGGAAGCGGGGAAGAGGGUGUCUUUCGCCACCUAGUGACCAUUGUGAGUGGUGAUACUUGUUCUCAUCUCAGCCUGGUAGCCUGACCUUGACUCCUGAGUUCUGUGAUGCCUUCAC